AUGGCUUCGAUUUGCGAUUGGGGAAACGAAGUAGCAGCACCGAUGUCAAAAAUAAAAACCCUAGUCACGCAACCAGAAUGGAAACCAGUGUAUUUCUUAACUUAUAUAGGAGGCUCAAAACUCAACCCUAUGCUUUCAAUUCUCAAUAUUACUUCUUUUUUCGUCUUUUUUUUUU